UUUCUUUCUUUAUGGCGACGGUGGUGGUUACAAUGGAUCUGGAUGUAGUGACGUUCCUUCAAGCAAGUGGUGGCGAUUUCGUGACCAGGAAAGUGAAGAGACAGAGAGACAUAAGGAGAAAUCGAAAGAGGGAGGAGGACGAAGAUCAGGAACUAAGAGAGGGGCCUAUCGGUGAUGGAGACGACCGUGAAACUGCCGUCUUCAGGCGGCGGCGAUGAUGGUUUGAUGAACACCUGUUAUAGGUUCUACUUAUUUUGAUAUCCAUUGAUGUUUAGGUUUUCGUCAUAUCACUAAACCCCUUUCAGAUUAAUUCAUGCAGCAGCCCUAAUUAGUUGUUUAAUAAUUUAAUUUAUUUCAUCUUCUUUCUCCAUCUGAUCUGUUUCAUUGCAAAUUGAUGCACCCCUAUAGUUUAAUUUGCUUGUAUAUUAUUGCAAUCUGAUAAUCUUUCUGAUGCCCACCAACUGUUUGUUUGAAUGUUUGUGAUUAUGGCAACAAGGUGGACCUUUAUUGAGCUUGGAGUCAUGGAUUCAGAUCACACAGGUGGUUUUAAAAGAAAAUAGUGUUAAAGAAAAGAAGAUAAAAUGGUGUUAUGAAGAAAAUUUCUGUGGAAACUUCAUCAAAAGAAAAACCAAAGGCUGUAGAAGGUCCAAAACAAGAAUACAUUCAUGUUCGAGCUUGUAGAGGUCAAGCAACCGAUAGCCAUAGUUUGGCUGAACGAAUGUUUGAAAUUCCAGCAGUCGCGUAUUCGGCUGAAGUGGCGAAUUCUGCUUAUAUGCAAGUAAAUUCGUUACUAGAAAUGGGAAAUAACCCGAUUGACGCGAUGUUAUGAAGAAGCAUUGGUGGUCCCGUUUCGAUUCCUGAAACAUUCGUUGUUUCAUCGUGUUUCAAUCAAAUGCAGCCAGGUGUGACAUGGGAUGGUGAUCUACACAAUCUCUACAGAAUGGAAAUUCAACAAGAAUCAUCAACAAUUCCAUUUCAACCCCAUAAAUUUACAGGUAAAAAGAGCAUAAAUCUAUACAAGUAUUUUUUUUCCAAUAUAUAUGUAUGUCUAACGUAUGUUACGUGCUAUGAAUGUGGUAAUCUGAGUUAAUUAAGUCUGCGUAACGCAAACAAUAUUAUUUAAACAUAGUUAAUAGAAAUAUAGAGCUACAUACCCACAAAA